UACAGAGGGGUCAAGCGCUGUUCGGAAUUACUGGGCGUAAAGGGCGCGUAGGCGGCCUGCUAAGUCGAACGUGAAAUCCCCGAGCUCAACUCGGGAACUGCAUCCGAUACUGGCGGGCUUGAAUCCGGGAGAGGGAUGUGGAAUUCCAGGUGUAGCGGUGAAAUGCGUAGAUAUCUGGAGGAACACCGGUGGCGAAGGCGGCAUCCUGGACCGGUAUUGACGCUGAGGCGCGAAAGCUAGGGGAGCAAACGGG
rnacentral:rRNA from 1 species